CCUUCCGGAUAACGCAAUCAGUGGUCCGAUUCCAGACGAAAUUGGUGAAAUUACAACUUUAGAAGAUUUAAGCUUGAAUGAUAAUCUAAUGGAAGGGACUCUUCCUUCUAGUCUCGGAAAAUUGACCCAAUUACGCAUGCUGUAAGAAUAUUAUUUCAAGUGCAAAUAAUUUUCUUUUAUCUUAUUAGUUGCAUUGUGACUACCACAUUAGUCUUGUUAUAGAUAAUUUUUUAUAUUGCUUUUAGAUGUGUUAUCUGUUUCUAAGGAUUUGGAACUCGUAGGGAUCUUACUGGAAAUAACUUCUUGGGGGCCAUACCCGAAAGUUUUGGUAAUCUGACAAAACUGGAAUAUAUCUCUUUAGAUGGCACCAACAUAUCAGGAAAAUUACCCAAUUUUAUUGGGAACUGGACCCAACUCCAA